UAGCCGUAAACGAUACUCGCUAGGUGUCGGCCACGGUGCGACCGUUGUCGGUGCCGUAGGGAAGCCGUGAAGCGAGCCACCUGGGAAGUACGGCCGCAAGGCUGAAACUUAAAGGAAUUGGCGGGGGAGCACCACAAGAGGUGGAGGCUGCGGUUCAAUUGGACUCAACGCCGGAAAACUCAUCGGGAGCGACAGCAACAUGAAGGCCAGGCUGAAGACUUUGCCGGAUUAGCUGAGAGGAGGUGCAUGGCGUAGUCG
rnacentral:rRNA from 1 species